CAGGCUUCAGAUGUGCCUAAUCACAAGAAACACUGCGCUUGGGGCGUGACUGCCCUCAGCAUUUCUUCUGGGCAGCAGACGCAGUUUGUCAAUUUGCCAACAUCCUGCUUUUAUGAGAACAGUUUGCUGUUUACUCAUAUAGCCUCCAGUGGUAUACUGAGUUGAUCACGACUCUCAUUCUCUCAGCCUGCAACAUCUCUCCCUUUUUGUUUUUGCAUUAAUUAAAUAAGAUCUGUCCCUAUGUCAUGGGGGUUGAUGUCAGUGUGAUUCUGGUUGGUUCUUGUUCCGUCUUUGCAUUCAGAUUCAACUGGCUCAUGGUUUGUACCGGGGGAACCAAGCCCAUGGUUGGGAUCCAGGGGUCCCUCCAGUCUCCUGUUCCAUGGUCGCACACACCUUGAGGGCACCCACACGGUUUGAUCGUCUCCUUAUAUUGCUGCUGGCAGACUCGUGACGGGGUUUCUCAUUCAUCUGAAGAGAAAGUCAGAGAGAAUCAAAGCAUGUGAAGAGAGACCUCACGCAAGGAGGUCUAGGAGCCUAGAGUGAUCUUCAGCCAACAGUCAAAAAGAUAACUGGGACAACCACAAGGAACUGACUUCUAUAAGAGAAAUGAGCCUGGAAAAGGACUCCAAGCUUCAGAUGAAAAUGUAGUUGGCUGACACUUUGAUUUUAGUCUUGUGAAACCCUAAGCAGAGAAUCCAAGUAAGUCCCCCUGAACUUCUCACCUAAAGAACAAUGAGUUAAUAAAUAAGGGGUAUGAUAAGUCAUGAAAUAUGUGGUAAUUUAUUACAAAACAAUAUAUAAUGAUACAGAUACCUAUCUGGUAGCCAGAUAUUAUCCUAAGUAUUUUCCACAAGACAUUUAAUUUGAUUUAAUUAACACGCAACUCCAUAAGAGACAGAUCCUUUUAACUAUUUUGCAGGUGGUAAACUGAGGCUCAAGUAAUUUAUGUGAUUUGUCUAAGGUCCCAUAGGCUAUAAGUGUCAGAGCCCAGAUUGAGAAGUGUUUGGCUGUUCAUGCAAGUGCAAGCAGCUUUCAUUAAACUAUUCGCAGAAGUCUGUCAGAAUAGCUAGCAAGGAUACCAACUAUCUAGGGAAAGUCACACCAAAGGAGUGACCCAAAGAAACACAUUUUAACCUGAACUGCCUGGUAAUACACUGAAGGCAAAUCAGCCCCAAAGACUAAAAUUGUUAAUUUUCUGUGAUUCCUCGCUGUUUUAUUUAAUAUAAUAUGACCUUAACCUAGUCUUGAUAUUUGAUUUCUGAACAAUGAGUCAAGAGAGUUGCCUUCUCUAUGUAGUAGUACUUUACUGUUGUCAAAGACUUGUCCUUUGGUGCUUCAUAUUUUGCUUUACCUACAUGGAACAUUGCUAAUUUAGGUGAUAGCCUAACUAUUUAUAGUUAAAUACACCCACCAAGUUCCCUUUACCCUUCAAAUUAACUAAAAAGAAACAACUUCCUACUUCUUACACCACAUAAAAUUCAUAUUUUGCUUUAAAUGUAAUUUUUCAGCAAAGAGCCUAGUGGAGUUCACUUAAAACUAACCAAAUCAGCUGUUAAAAUUGUCCAUUUGAUCACAUGGGUUAUAGGCAUAGUUAUUUGACUGAGUUAUGACAAUGCUCAGAAACAGAAAAGACAGUCAAAGGUUAUCAUGUAAGUUCAAUAAAAAUUCAACAGUUGUUUUUAAAGAUUUUCAUAUGAUAAUAUUGUUUCACUUUCUAUUACCCAUAUUUGAUUUCAUUUACAAAUAAAAUACUACCCACUCUAUGAAUCAUGCUUUUAUCUCAAAUAUAUCUAGAGUGAAUCUCUAUGAUUUUUAGAAUACAGAAAUAUACAUUUUAAAAAGAUUUUAACAUUUAUUGUAAAUAAUUUAAGACAACUUUUAGAUAUAUCACGUGAGUGUUUAACUCAAUUUUCAUGACCCAGCUGGCCCAAAUUAGUCUUUUUUAUAAAUUGUUUUUUGAGUUGAAAUUAUUCUUUCACACCUAAAGAACUCUAUCUGAUGCUCUAGAGAGAAAUAUUCAAUUGAACUUCACAAUGUAGAACAUUUCCUGCAUUCUCCAUUGUAGACUGUGAUGAAUAAAUCAAUAUGUGCUUACUAAAAACAAAUGAUACAAUUUAAGGAAAUAUAUUAUUUUGAGUCCUGAUUCAAAGAAAAUAACCAAAUAUUUAAAAUUUAUUUAAAAUUUGUACUGUUUAUUUAUAUAAUUAUAACAUCUUCAAAAUCAAUAAUGAUUUUCUUCAUUUAGUAUUUAAACAUAACUAUUUUCUCAUAGUACUAGAGUCGCCAUAAGCAUCACUCUAUGGCUAUAUAAUUUCUGACAUGUGCUUUUAUUGGAAUUCAUUAAUAAUUUCAUUAUUUUUAGGUAUUUAGAUCAUGGCCCACUUUCCCCUACAACCACGAUACCUGUUUAAAUUGACAAAUCAUAGUUGUAUGGAUUUACGGGGCAAAAUGUGAUGUUUUGAUAUACGUAUAUGAUACAGUUUGAUUAAAUCAAGCUGCUUUAACAUAUCCAUCAUCCUGCUUACCUAUCAUUUUUAAUAAUGAGAUAUUUGAAAUGUAUUCUCUUAGUUAUUUUCAAAUACAUAAUACAUUAUUAUUGACUGUAGUCAUCCUGGUGUGCAAUGAAUCUCAAGAUGAAUAUUUCCAUGAACAUUAAAAAAAAUUCUUCCAUUUUGAAAU
rnacentral:lncRNA from 10 species